rnacentral:rRNA from 1 species
CAGUCGAGCGGAUGAGUGGAGCUUGCUCCAUGAUUCAGCGGCGGACGGGUGAGUAAUGCCUAGGAAUCUGCCUGGUAGUGGGGGACAACGUUUCGAAAGGAACGCUAAUACCGCAUACGUCCUACGGGAGAAAGCAGGGGACCUUCGGGCCUUGCGCUAUCAGAUGAGCCUAGGUCGGAUUAGCUAGUUGGUGAGGUAAAGGCUCACCAAGGCGACGAUCCGUAACUGGUCUGAGAGGAUGAUCAGUCACACUGGAACUGAGACACGGUCCAGACUCCUACGGGAGGCAGCAGUGGGGAAUAUUGGACAAUGGGCGAAAGCCUGAUCCAGCCAUGCCGCGUGUGUGAAGAAGGUCUUCGGAUUGUAAAGCACUUUAAGUUGGGAGGAAGGGCAGUAAGUUAAUACCUUGCUGUUUUGACGUUACCGACAGAAUAAGCACCGGCUAACUUCGUGCCAGCAGCCGCGGUAAUACGAAGGGUGCAAGCGUUAAUCGGAAUUACUGGGCGUAAAGCGCGCGUAGGU